GCCGGGAGAAGAAGGGGACGCGGCAGAAGAAGGCUGAGGGGAGGAGAAGGCACCCCAAAUCUCCCAGACAAACGUAGCAGCCAAAUAGAACUGUAGUCAGCCUUAGAGUGCCAAAGUGAAACAAGGAACCCGGGCUGCAGGUGCUUUUGGGUAUGUAAAGCAACAGGAGCUUUGAAGAUACUGUGAGGAAAACAGCAUGGAGCAUAGAGAGUAUUUAAGUUCAUGAUUUUUGGAUUGUGGGUUUGGGAGUGGUAAGGUGCUUUUGUAAUUUCUGCUUUUGUUCUUUGGGGUUUUUUUUUUUGGGUUUUUUUUUUUUUUUUUUUUUUUUUUUUUUUUUUUUUUUUUGAGGAAUGCAACUUUCUGAAAUUCCAGAUUGUGUCAAGUGGAGUACAUUUUUCAGCAGAUUCAUAAUGUCACAAAAGGGAUUUGCUCUGUGUCCAAGAUGAUAUUUGAGAUUGAGGCUUCAAAUGAGUUAAGCAUUGUGAUUAGGAGAGGGAGGGUGAAAAGCUUUUAAUGACUCUAUUUAGGAGUUAUUGUGGGUGGUUUUGAGGGCAGCAGGGUGAGAAACAGUGUCUACAGCACACAAGCUCAUCCAUUGCAGUCAGAGAAAUGCUAUGUAACUUUCUCUCUCUAACCCAGGUGCCACUCACAAUAACACGCUUGGACUCAGUGUGAAGCCAGAGACUCAAGGACCUAGGCACACUCAGGAGAGGACAAGUAGCCGACUUGCUGGGAGUUGGCCCAUAUAACACAAAGCUCAUAUGUUGUUUUUGGUUUACUUUAUUGCAGCUGACUGAGAGGUUAACAGGCAAUUGUGGCAGAGGUGCUCUGAGGCAUACUCAUUUCAGGUCCAGCAUGGACUCACAUCACCGGUCAUCCAAAAGAUAAGUUGGGGGCCACCGCCUGGAGAUGGGAUGAUAGGAGAGUAGUGGGUUGGAAAUUCCUGGGACAGAUUUAAAAAUUAGCAGGGGGAAAAGCAAUGCCCUCUCAAGACACCCAAAAGGAGAGGCUCUACCUUUGCUAACAGCUGUAGGGUGCGCAGUGCAGAACAGUUCCAGUCUGUGUUGUGUUGUCCGGUGUAUACUGUGUUACCUAGUGUGUCUUUGGGGUCCCUCGGAUCAGAUAUCUCUGCCUCUUUCCCCUCGAGGCCCUUACCACAAGCAUCAGCCGUAGGUUCUUGAACGCUCGCACUUCUCUGCAUGAUGCCGAUAUCAUUUGUUCUUUUACUGGCGGGCUCGGCCGUGUUUCCGAGUCACAUCGCAGAAGCGUCGAGUAGGACAUGUUCUGAGGCCUUGCUCCCAGCCAUAUCACCAUCCAUCUUUUCUAGCCAUGGGCUGUAA